rnacentral:rRNA from 1 species
AGAGUUUGAUCCUGGCUCAGAACGAACGCUGGCGGCGUGGAUUAGGCAUGCAAGUCGAGCGCGAAAGUUCCCUUCGGGGAGCGAGUAGAGCGGCGAACUGGUGAGUAACAGGUGGGUAACGUGCCCCAAAGUGGGGAACAACCCGAGGAAACUCGGGCUAAUACCGCAUGUGGCCGGAACGACCCUGGUCGGUCCGGUCAAAGACUUCGGUCGCUUUGGGAUCGGCCCGCCCCCGAUUAGCUUGUUGGUGAGGUAACGGCUCACCAAGGCUACGAUCGGUAGCUGGUCUGAGAGGAUGGUCAGCCACACUGGGACUGAGAUACGGCCCAGACUCCUACGGGAGACAGCAGUCUAGAGGCUUCCGCAAUGGACGAAAGUCUGACGGAGCGACGCCGCGUGUGGGAUUGAAGGCCUUCGGGUCGUAAACCACUGUCAGGAGGGAAGAAUGCCCGAGUGGUGAACUCGGGAGAGACGGUACCUUCAGAGGAAGCCCCGGCUAACUCCGUGCCAGCAGCCGCGGUAAUACGGAGGGGGCAAGCGUUGUUCGGAUUUACUGGGCGUAAAGGGUGUGUAGGCGGCUACGCAAGUCUAGUGUGAAAGCUUCAUCGCUUAACGAGAAGAGGUCACUGGAAACUGCGUGGCUUGAGUGUGGUAGAGGCGAGCAGAAUUCCUGGUGUAGCGGUGGAAUGUGUAGAUAUCAGGAAGAACACCUGUGGCGAAGGCGGCUCGCUGGGCCAUUACUGACGCUGAGACACGAAAGCGUGGGGAGCGAACGGGAUUAGAUACCCCGGUAGUCCACGCUGUAAACGGUGCACACUAGGUGUGGGAGGUAUCGACCCCUUCUGUGCCGACGCAAACGCAUUAAGUGUGCCGCCUGGGGAGUACGACCGCAAGGUUGAAACUCAAAGGAAUUGACGGGGGCCCGCACAAGCGGUGGAGGAUGUUGUUUAAUUCGACGUAACGCGAAGAACCUUACCUGGGCUUAAACUGUGGGGUAAACUCUUGGAAACAGGAGCUGGGGCAACCCGAUCCCAUAGAGGUGCUGCAUGGCUGUCGUCAGCUCGUGUCGUGAGAUGUUGGGUUAAGUCCCGCAACGAGCGCAACCCUUGUCGUUAGUUGCCAGCGCGUAAUGGCGGGGACUCUAGCGAGACUGCCGGUGAUAAACCGGAGGAAGGUGGGGAUGACGUCAAGUCAUCAUGGCCCUUACGUCCAGGGCUACAAACGUCCUACAACGGCCGGGACAGCGGGUUGCGAAACCGCGAGGUGAAGCUAAUCCCAUAAACCCGGUCUCAGUUCAGAUUGCAGUCUGCAACUCGACUGCAUGAAGGUGGAAUCGCUAGUAAUCGCAGAUCAGCAUGCUGCGGUGAAUACGUUCCCGGGCCUUGUACACACCGCCCGUCACACCACGAAAGUCGGCCGCUCCAGAAGUCGCUGUUGUAACCCGCAAGGGGACUAGGCGCCGAAGGAGCAGUUGGUAAUUGGGGUGAAGUCGUAACAAGGUA